AACGAACGCUGGCGGCAUGCCUAACACAUGCAAGUCGAACGAGACCUUCGGGUCUAGUGGCGCACGGGUGCGUAACGCGUGGGAACCUGCCCUUAGGUUCGGAAUAACUCCCCGAAAGGGGUGCUAAUACCGGAUAAUGUCUUCGGACCAAAGAUUUAUCGCCUUUGGAUGGGCCCGCGUUGGAUUAGCUAGUUGGUAGGGUAAAAGCCUACCAAGGCGACGAUCCAUAGCUGGUCUGAGAGGAUGAUCAGCCACACUGGGACUGAGACACGGCCCAGACUCCUACGGGAGGCAGCAGUGGAGAAUAUUGGACAAUGGGCGAAAGCCUGAUCCAGCAAUGCCGCGUGAGUGAUGAAGGCCUUAGGGUUGUAAAGCUCUUUUACCCGGGAUGAUGAUGACAGUACCGGGAGAAUAAGCUCCGGCUAACUCCGUG
rnacentral:rRNA from 1 species